UCGGCCGCGGCCGCUUUCCCCGGGCAAUGCCGCCCGAGGCUGCCUCUCGCUUCCCCGCGCCACCGCGCGUCCGCCGGUUGGGUUCGCCCGCGCCGCUGCGUCACUGCUGCAUGACGUCAGCGCUGGCCGUGACGUCACGCGGCGAGGUGUGAAGGUCAUGGCGGCGCUGCCCCGACAGCGUCUCCUGCCCUCCCGCGGGACACCGCCCGGGGCCCUCGGGGAGGCCCCGCGGCCGGGCCGUUGCCGCCCACCCACCUCCCCGGGCCCUCGGCACCGCCGUGUCCUUCAGCUCAGCGCCGCCUCGGCGGCCUCCGCCGGCUCCCGCUGCCGCACCAGCCCCGCGUCACCCCGCCAGCUCCGUGUGCUUGUGUCGGUGCCAUGUCACCGAGUUGAUGUUUCGUCACACGGCGCAUUCCUGAAUCCGCCCGUGACAGCCCCGAGGCUCCCUCCCGCUGCUCUGGGCAGCCCGUGUGCGGCGCUGGCCCUGCUCUCGCUGUCACCAGCGCUCCAUCUCUCCCAGAACAGUCCUAUGCCACCGAUGCGAUCCCAGCGUUAAUUUUGGUCUGUGGGUGUCCAAGGCCAGUGAUGGAACAUGGCAAAGCCAUCCACUGCACCACGUUGCAGCCUAAAUUUAGCUAAUCCACGCCACGGCACUGGCAUCUAUAGGGGAUAUGUUGCAAGCACAUAAUCACAAUUUAGCUGCUUUCAAAUGCAAACACAUGCUAAGUGUGAUUGCACGGUUGCCACAUCAGAUUGUCGUUGCCACACUGUAAUUGCCUUAACAUUUCCUGUCCCGUGAUGCCACAUCCCAAAGGUUUACUGGUGUAACUUCUCCAGGGAAGUGGGGAUUGCAGCAGUAUCACAUCACAGCACCGUUGUGGUUAUCCCAGUGCAGUGGUUGUGGUUAUCCCAGUCCACUCACAGGACGUGGGCUCAUCCUAUAACAGCAUUAAGUUUUGGUUUCCACCCAAUUGACUUGGGACUAAACACAGGCAACAAGUGGCCCCUGCUGGAUACCAGCUUUCUGUUCACAUCAGGAUGUUCCCGCUCGAGCAGAACGAGUUAAAUGAAAUCCCAUGCAUUAGCAGGAUGGAAAUGUAUACCAUGAAGAAAAAGGAGAAAAUGCAUCUUUUUUUCCCAGCAAGUGUUUUAGUGGUGCUGCUUUGAUUUGUGUUACUGCACAGAAGUUAUGGAGGUGGAGAAGUCUCCUUGACUACUUCUUUCUCCUAAGUCUUUGUAAUUUUGAUCAUUGUUUCUACCCAUCUGUAGAAAUAAUCUUCCUUAUGGACUCAAUCACAUACUGUCUGUUUUAACGAGCCCAGUGACUGUUGUAGGGAGUGAUGCCAAGAGUGAUGAUCUUUAGCUAUUUCUGUAGGAAAGCAGCUUAGCGGGCCAUAUGUCAUAUUUCCUAGUAAAUGAUUGUUUUGAAUUGUUUUUAUACUGUAGUUUCUAUUCAUGAGAUAUUAAAGAAAAUAACAGCAUCUGGUUAAUCAAAUUCUGAAUUUCAGCAUAUGAUGAUAUAUAUCAAUCCUAUUCUGUGACUUUCUUUGAAAUAGAUUGUAAGUUCAGUGCAGACAAUUUCUCUCUGUUGGCUGGUAAGGCAUCUUAUAGGUGACUGUUAUACCUUAAAAUUUUAAGGGUGAAGAGCUAAGACAGUUUGAAGUUUAACAAGAGCUGAGUUCAGCUGCUGUUGCCAGAAAGGAGUUUGCACCACCCUUCUACCACACAUUCCUAAAGACAAAAAGUGAACAGAAGAAGUGAGGCUUGAGCAAAGGUAGAAUAUUUUCUCCUCGCAGGGUUCUUGAGGGAGCACUUGAAACUGAGAUCACCCCACAGAUUGUGGAAGCUGCUGGACAGAGCAGCAGCUGUGUGUGAUACAACAGCAAAAGCAUUUCCUCAUCCAGACAACUCAGACCUGAUUAAUUUUCAGAUUUUACCAUUUUUUUUAAAGAAGGCAAAUUGGAUCUCAAGCAGAAUUUUAAGUGCCUCCCUAUGUUAAUAUAUUACGGGUUACACCAUGUUUAAACAUGAAAAUUUAGGCUCCUUUUUUGGCUUAAAAUUAUGAUUUCAGAACAGAAAGAGCGUGCUGUGUGGCAAAUGUACUGAAAACAUUUUAUUAAUAUAAUGUUGGAACAACUAGCCCAUAUUCCAACUGAUUUUCUUGACUAUAUUCAUGUUUGAAUGCUAUAGUAACCACUUUCCUGGUCUUGGGGUUUUGAUUUUGUGUCAAGAAGAGCAGUGGGUGUGAUCUUCUUUAAAGGCAGCCUAGACAAGGUAUAAUAAGGCCGUGUCAGUGGUUUCACUUUAGAAUCUGCAAUUUUUAAUUGAUUUUUAAUAUCCAGAUAACUACUUUUCAUUCCAAAAAAAAAGGAAUCUAAUUUCUCAACUGAUAACCCAAAAACUCCCAAGGUUUUUUUGUUUGGGCUUUUUUUGGGCAGGGUUUGUCUUCAAACAGUCUUGAUCUGCAAGAACAGAUGUUCGGAAGUAACGAGCCAAAUUAGUCCUUUGAUGUUUUGGUUGUGUUUCCUCUGAAAUAUGAUUCAUGACCCCAGUUAGAGAUACAGAGGGACAGAAAUCUGAGGGUUUGGAGUGUGAGUUUUUGUAAAAUAGUUUGGAGAUAGUAUUUUUGCAGAUGUUUAUUUUUUAAUGUCUUCCAAAAUAUGUCCAAGAUGUGCUAUAUAUUUUAGCACCUAACUGUGGAUCCAGCUGCUUUAGAGCAUUUUAAACAGCUGCUGUUUGCUUAUAGAUUUUUUCAGACAUGCAAUAUUAAUUAACCUGUCUUAGCCUUUAAUCCAGUCUCUUCCUCCAAUUGACAUACAAGCUGGGAUCACCUACAGCAGAGGUUAGGGCUCACAGAAAAUUAGUAAGGCUUAAUAACUUGAAUACCUGGGUUUCUUCUUCUGUCUGUACAUUAAACAACCCAGAGAUGUACUGAAGCCAUGUUUCUCACCCUGUUACAGAGAACUGGUGCCUUGAUUCAGCCCAGUUAUGAAGGCAGAAGAAACUGGAGACUGUGGCUUGGGCUGUUUGCAGACUGAUGCAAAAAAACCCUCAUAGUGGUGGUUUGUUUACUAUGGUCUGUCACAGCUCAUGUGUGGCUGGCUCAAACCUCUUCAAAACAAAAGCUUUAUCAUAAUAAGCUAUUGCAGACUCAUUCUUUUCACAGUUCAUCAAAUCCUUGAGUUAUUACAGAACCCAAGCCCGGGGAAUAUUAGUUUUGCUGCUUUUGUUUGUAUAAACACUUCUUACUUUGAAGAGUGUACCUCCUACCACAAUGUUUCCUAAUUUGAGCAUUAAAAAUCGUACAUAAAAAGCAAUAAAUGUUGACUUUUUCAUGUACCUGCUUCCUUCUGAGCUUCUUAAAACCAAUUCUUCUUCUUCCCAGCCUUUGUCAUAAUUUCAAGGGCUAAAAGCUCAUUUCAGACAAAAUUAGAAGAUUCUUAUACAAUCCAUUGAUUUCAGCCCUGUGGUCUCUGAGAACACCAAUUAAUAUUCAGAGACUCAAUAGGAACUCUCAAGAGCUGGCAAUCCACUGUCUGGCAGCAGAACAACAACAGGAAGAAGAAUCUAAGGAGGAAAAUGAGGCUAAAUCCAGGGAGUUUAAAAAUUCUGAGUACUUCUCUGCAAUAUUUUAUCAGUCUUUAUGGAAGGCUCAGGACAAAGAAUUUCUAUCUUUAUCUGGAUUCAACCUUGAUGAAUGUUGAAGCACUUCAGAGUUUUUACUUCAUUAAAAAUAUAUGGAAGCUAGUUUGUUUUUCAGAGACUGGAAGUCUGAACCUGAAAGACGUGGUAAAUUGAUUCACUGGUGUGAGAUUCUUACCACCCUUCACAAAAAAAUAAUAAAACAUUCUCAAAGCCAUUUUGUUAGAAGAGAAUCAGACCAAAGACACUCUUGAAAUUACUGGCUGCCUUUCUCCAAGAUUUGUUGAGGACACCAGGAUUCAGAAUAGAGUUUUCUUGAUUGGAAAAACAGGCCUGGAGAUUAAUGAGUUGGCCAGGAUUACACCCACAUAAUAAGUCAGAUGCAAAGCCACAAUUAGAAGUGGAGUACCUCAUGGCAGCCUUCUGAAGAGUUUGCCAGCUCCAAACAAAUGAAAAAAUAGUCAUGACAGAAGCCAAAGAUACCUGUUCCUGGAGAUGCUUGGGAAAAAGACAGGUGAAGAGAAAGGACGAAAUAUGGGCACUGUGGAGGUAUGUCAGGCAUUGGACUCUUGAACAUUGUAUGAAGUGGAGCUACCUGUCCAGCCAGCUUGGAGUGCUUUUCCCUGUCUCCCACACCUUCGUAGACCCUCCCUGGGUCUGACCAGCCCUUGAGCUCUGAUGUAGUUGCCUGGCUUGUAUCUCUGUGUUCUGGAGUAUGUGAAGACUGGAAACUGAAGCUGGGAGGUGCCAGAAUGUCCCACUGAUGAGUUCAGGUGCUGUAAGGAUAAUUUGACUCUUUUCUGAGCAGGAAAACUUGACUAGGAAAGAUAGAAAGCUACUUUUCUUUGCACAUUUUAUUUCCUGUGUAAGUCAACUGUGGCAUCUAUUGUUUUUGCAUGUUUAGCUGACCUUGGUGAAAUCUUAAGCACCAAUGUCAUA